GUGGAUGAAAACAUUGUGUCAAUAUGCUAUGUCUAUGUUCGCCUUAUUCACCCGGAACGUUCUAAAGACGUUGAGGGGUACACUUCAGGGGUACAUUCGGCAACGCACCAGCUGUCAUGCCGCCUCACUUUUGUGUGCCCAAAUGUUCGUCCUCAAAGAGAAAAAAAAUCCUACCGUGGACAGACUUUCCACCGUUUCCCCAAAGAGCAGGCACUUCGCCGUGAAUGUAUAAAUCACAUCAAGAGGGAUCCUGGUCCAUAUUUCAAGAUCAACGCUGAGACCAAGGUUUGCUCUGAGCACUUUGAGAAGCAGUGUUUUGUAAAGACCGCCCGUGGUAUCACAAAGCUUAUAAGGAUGCCGUGCCACUUUGUUCGCCUGGACUUCAGAGAGGCCAACGAGGAGAAUCAUCAUUCGCAGACCGAGAGAUGAUGACCCAUUCCUGAAGUUGGACGCCAGAAUGCAGGAAGGUGCUGUUUAAGAGCCUAGGCGGUGGAAGAAGCACUUGCAGGUAUGCUACCGACCAGGCUCCUCAACAUCAAUCCGAGACGGAAGAUGAACCGGGAUGAAGCAGUUAGAUUGAGACAAGGCGGCCGGAAACUUUGAUGACCUCAAUGACACUGGCUAGGUGAAGGACAUCAAGAAAAUGGCAUCCGGUCACCAGACAUCAGCUCAUAAGCCACAACGUCAUCAACCAUUUUGCGCCAAAAAUGAAGCCGUUCACAUACCAUGGCAUCCUAAGCAGGCAGCACCACACUACUGUGCAACAGUGAGAGAGAGCGGGCAAGGACAAGUAAAACGGACCUACACUACAGCAAGACUUUGACACUUCUCCACGUGAGAGGCAGCCAUCGCCCCCACCGUGGAGCAGUGUGUACCCAGUACCCCCAAAAGAGGAGAUGAUCCAACGCCAUCACAGCCGAUUUCCAAAAUUGUACACCAAACUCUGUAUGGGCGUGUGUGUGUGUGUGUGUGUGUGUGAGAUAUUGUAAAACUUCUCAGUCCUUCUUCUAUACUAUACAGUGUAUAAAUAUGCAUGUGAAAACCUAAAUAUGCAUUAAAAACCAUUACUGAGGUUAAGAAAUGCAUUAUAACAAAUACAUCUGAUUCAGGUGUACUGUACAUUGAAAUGUCUUUAUUUGCCACAAAUACAUCACAUCCUGGAAACCUGUACAAUGUGUGGAUUCAAAGGUCUGCCAGAUCUUUGUGAUGGCACAGGAUUGCAGUGGAACCCAAACAUAGCCUAGGAACUCCCACGCCAUCUCACCAACUGCCGAUAUGCAGUAUGCCUGAAUUUCCUGUACAGCAAAGAAAUGUAGAGAUUGUGCCUUCAUCGAGAAUAGGUCAUUUGGAAUCACAACAAUUAUUCAAUUUACUUUGUGCGUGUGGUGUAGCUAUUGCUGUUAUUAUGUUACUACUAGUGACCCAUUUAGUUGAGCUUAAUAGUCUACAUGACAUCUCUGCACUUGUGUUACCACUAUUGGGAUUGGCUGCUCCCUAAAUGAAAAUGAGAAAAACUUGCCCGGAUGAAAUGUUAUGAACUGUGUGCGUUGUGCUGCUUGCUGAAGUAACAUGACACCCACAUCACC